rnacentral:rRNA from 1 species
UACAGAGGUCCCAAGCGUUGUUCGGAUUCACUGGGCGUAAAGGGUGCGUAGGUGGCUUGGUAAGUUUGAUGUGAAAUCUCCGGGCUUAACCCGGAAAUGGCAUUGAAUACUAUUGAGCUGGAGGUUUGGAGGGGGACUGGAAUUCUCGGUGUAGCAGUGAAAUGCGUAGAUAUCGAGAGGAACACCAGUGGCGAAGGCGGCUCUCUGGGACGGUACUGACGCUGAGACGCGAAAGCGUGGGGAGCGAACAGG